CCUACGGGGGGCAGCAGUAGGGAAUAUUGCUCAAUGGGGGAAACCCUGAAGCAGCAACGCCGCGUGGAGGAUGAAGGUUUUCGGAUCGUAAACUCCUUUUGUAAGAGAAGAUAAUGACGGUAUCUAACGAAUAAGCACCGGCUAACUCCGUGCCAGCAGCCGCGGUAAUACGGAGGGUGCAAGCGGUACUCGGAACCACUGGGCGGAAAGAGCGCGCAGGUGGGAUAGCAAGGCAGGUGUGAAAUGCUAUGGCUUAACCAUAGAAAUGCAUUUGAAACUGUUAAUCUAGAGUAUGGGAGAGGUAGGUGGAAUUCUUGGUGUAGGGGUAAAAUCCGUAGAGAUCAAGAGGAAUACUCAUUGCGAAGGCGACCUGCUAGAACAUAACUGACGCUGAUGCGCGAAAGCGUGGGGAGCAAACAGGAUUAGAUACCCCGGUAGUC
rnacentral:rRNA from 1 species